CUCACCUCUACAACUUUGUUGAUGUGGAAAGUGGAUGUGGGCCUCGUUGUGUAAUAACAACUGGCCUGAAAUGGAUGAGUGUACCCUGCUGCUGCUGCGUUUCAGUGUGAUAAGUAUCUUCACUGAUAAAAGUUCCUUUGGGACACGAUUGCAAAGUGGGCUCUGCGCUUCCAACUGUCUGUUAAUGGACAAUACUUGACAAUUUGGCCUCAAAUCGGGUGGGACUACCCGCUGAACUUAAGCAUAUCAAUAAGCGGAGGAAAAGAAACUAACAAGGAUUCCCCUAGUAACGGCGAGUGAAGAGGGAAAAGCUCAAAUUUUGAAUCUGUCGUCUUUGGCGAUCGAGUUGUAAUCUAGAGAAGUGUUUUCUGCCUUGGACCACACAUAAAUUCCCUGGAAUGGGGUGUCAAAGAGGGUGAGAAUCCCGUUUGUGGUGUGGACUCCCUUGGCUCUGUGAUACACUCUCGACGAGUCGAGUUGUUUGGGAUUGCAGCUCAAAAUGGGUGGUAAAUUCCAUCUAAAGCUAAAUACUGGCGAGAGACCGAUAGCGAACAAGUACCGUGAGGGAAAGAUGAAAAGCACUUUGGAAAGAGAGUGAAACAGUACGUGAAAUUGUUGAAAGGGAAGCGUUUGAAGUCAGUCACAUUGUCUGGGACUCAGCCUUGCUUCUGCUUGGUGUACUUCCCAGUCAAUGGGUCAGCAUCAGUUUUGACCGUGGGAGAAAGACUUGAGGAAUGUGGCUCUUCAGAGUGUUAUAGCCUCUUGUUGUAUGUCUCGGUUGGGACUGAGGAUUGCAGCGCGCCUUAUGGCCGGGGUUCGCACCCUCGGUACGCG
rnacentral:rRNA from 1 species